rnacentral:lncRNA from 1 species
UGGGGAGGUUUUGGGGUUUUUUUGGGGAGGUUUUGGGGUUUUUUUGGGGAAGUUUUGGGGGUUUUUUUGGUUGGUUUUGGGGGUGUUUUGUAGGGUGGGAUUUUUGGGGGAGGUUUGGGGUGUUUUUACGGUGUUUUCUGGGGGUUUUAGGGGUGUUUUUGCCGUGUUUUUUUUUUGUGUUUUCUGCCUGUUUUGGGCUGUUUCUCUGCCUGUUUUUCUGCCUGUUCUGGGGUGUUUUUGUGGCUGUUUUGGGCUGGUUUUCUGCCUGUUUUUGUGGUGUUUUUCUGCCUGUUUUUCUGCCUGUUUUUCUGCCUGUUUUUCUGCCUGUUUUUCUGCCUGUUUCUGGGCUGUUCUUCUGUGUGUUUUUCUGCCUGUUUCCUGUGUGUUUUCUGUCUGUUUUUGGGCUGUUUUUGUGGCUGUUUUUCUGCCUGUUUCCUGUGUGUUUUUCUGCCUGUUUUCUGCCUGUUUUUGGGGUGUUUUUCUGCCUGUUUUGGGGUGUUUUCCCGGCUGUUUUUGGGGUGUUUUUCUGCCUGUUUUGGGGUGUUUUUCUGCCUGUUUUCUGCCUGUUUUCUGUGUGUUUUCCCGUCUGUUUCCUGUGUGUUUUCCCGGCCGUGGCGGGGCUCCCGGGUACCGAUCAUGCGGUGGAACACCUCCUGCAGGUCCUCGGUGUCCCUGAGGAAGAAGAGGUGCUGCUCCCCCGCCUUGUGCGACGCCAGCGCGUUCAGCGUCUCGGCGUGAGCGUCCUCGCCCAGCCCGAAGGCGUAAACGUCUGCCGGGGCGGGAGAAACGGGGUCAGGGCGGACUGGGACACCCCGAAACGCACCGGGAAUGCACGGAAACACCCGGAAACACCCAAAAACAACCCGGAAACACCCAAAAACAACCCGGAAACACCCAGAAACACCCCAAAAUGCACCGGAAACAGCCCGAAACACCCCAAAAACACCCCGAAACGCACCGGGAACGCCCGGAAACACCCGGAAACACCCGGAAACACCCAAAAACAACCUGGAAACACCCAGAAAUACCCCCAAAACACCCCGAAACGCACCGGGAACGCGUGGAAACACCCGGAAACACCCAAAAACACCCAAAAACAACCCUGAAACACCCAAAAACAACCCAGAAACACCCAGAAACACCCCAAAACGCACCGGAAACAGCCCGAAACACCCCAAAAACACCCCGAAACGCACCGGGAACGCGCGGAAACACCCAAAAACAACCCGGAAACACCCAGAAAUACCCCAAGAACACCCCAAAACACACCGGGAACACCCAGAAAGACCCCGAAAACACCCCAAAACACACCGGAAACACCCAGAAACACCCUGAAACACCCAAAAACAACCCGGAAACACCCCAAAACACCCUGAAAUACACCGAAACCACACCAAAACACCGCAGGACACCCCAGAGGUCCCCCAGAACCCC